rnacentral:rRNA from 1 species
CCGGCCUUGACAUCCCGAUGAAUGUACAGUAAUGUGUACAGGACUUAGGUACAUCGGAGACAGGUGGUGCAUGGUUGUCGUCAGCUCGUGUCGUGAGAUGUUGGGUUAAGUCCCGCAACGAGCGCAACCCCUGCCCUCAGUAGCCAGCAGGUAAAGCUGGGAACUCUGAGGGGACUGCCCGGGAUAACCGGGAGGAAGGCGGGGAUGACGUCAAAUCAUCAUGCCCCUUAUGGCCGGGGCUACACACGUGCUACAAUGGCGGAAACAGAGGGAGGCAGCCCCGUGAGGGUGAGCGAACCCCAAAAAUACCGCCUCAGUUCGGAUUGUAGUCUGCAACCCGACUACAUGAAGCCGGAAUCGCUAGUAAUCGCGAAUCAGAAUGUCGCGGUGAAUACGUUCCC